CGAGGACGUCUGUGGUCAUUCCUGGUACACUGCUGGAGUAUCUCCUUGGAAGUUUGGAAGAAAUUAGGCCUACAGUAAGUGAUGUGAAGAUGCUAGAAAUUCUUUGACAGGGAUAGGAGUCAAGAGGCUUAGAGAGGUAGGCGUGUUAGAACUGAUUUACUAUGCAACUCCAAAGAACUACCGUGUGAUGACGUUUCCCAGGAAGACGCAGAGGACCUUUUAUUCAUUCUUUCAUAAGGAAUGCAUCCAUGAGGAGGCAACGGCUUCUGAAGAUACUCAGGGUUGUCUGUCCCAUGGAGGCCAGUUUUUUAUUCAUUUAAUAUAUUUAUUUAUUGGUACUAGGGAUCGAACCCAGGAACUUUUUACCACUAAGCUAAGCUACAUCCCCAGCCUUUUUUUUUUUUUUUACUUUGAGAUAGGUUCUCACUCAAUUGCUUAGUGCCUCACUAAAUUGUUGAGACUGGCUUUCAACUUGUGCUUCUCUUGCCUCAGCCUCCUGAAACCCUGGACAGACACUGUCACCACACCUGGCCCAUAAGCUAGUAUUGACAGGAGAUAGCCCUGAGCAGCUGGGCUCACUGGUGUCAAUAGAGAUGAUAUUUGGAAUUAGACACAGGGGGCAGCAUAAAGUGUCAGAAAGAAAGUUGGUUCUGUGGAAUGAAUUGUCUUAAUUGCCACAGUAAACCUGAAGGAAGACAGGUGGAUGUAAGUAUCCUAAGGGACAACAAAACAAGGCCAGAGUGACAACUGUUGGACUUUGACUUCAUUAAUCUGUGACAAAGGUGAAUAAAAAAGUAAUAUCUUCAUAGCAAGAUAUAUGGGUAUGCAAUAAAGUAUUGCUUAAUUUAUAUUUCUAAACAAGAUAGAGUGAGUCAGCACCACAAAUUAAAAUCAUGGCCACUUGUCCAGUUUUGAUACCUGAGUCAGUUUUCAGAUUUAGAAUGAACUGAUUGAAAGGCCAUGUCCCCCUUGAGGAAGUUCCCUGCAGCAUCAUUGCAAGUAGUUACCAUAACUAUUCAUGAUCCUUCCUCAAAGGGCCAAUUGCCAUUUAUCCAGAGUAAGUUUACACUGGGAAAAGUGAAUACCCAGGCAUUUUUAGGGACAUGAAUAAGUUAUCAUGGAUACCAAGUGACCCAAAACAGCAUCAAUCUCCUAAUUUGAGUGGGGAUGUUUAGAAAUCAAGUGAUAAAUUGAGUCUUAGCCCAAAUCAUAUGCCUUUGGACUUGUUACAACUGAAAGAAUCUUUCCCUGGUUUCCAGUGGAAAAAGUUAAGUAGAAUCCCCUAAAAUGCCUCUCUGAUCUCCUUUCCUGGGCAAAGGUAGUAAAUUUAAGCCAUAAAGCAUCCUGUUUUGUGUCACCUUCAGAAACUAAAAGAAUGCAGGAAUGAACUAGGCCUAGUGGCAUACCCUUGUAAUCCCAGUGACUCAGGAGGCUGAGGCAGGAGUAUCUCAAGUUCAAGGCCAGCCUCAGCAACUUAGCAAGGCCCUGUCUCAAAACAAAAAUUAAAAGAGCUGGGGAUUUAACUCAGUGGUAAAGCCCUUCUGGGUUCAGUCUCUGGUACCAGAAGAAGGAGAAGAAGCAAAUACAAUUGACUCAAUAAGUGAGGUUAAAUCUAUACUUCUUUAGGACAAUGCAGGAGUUCUAUUCUCUAUGAAUACUCACUCAAUUUACCAGGGGUCCUUGCUUAAACUAGGUAGAUGAUGAACAAUGACAAUAGUCCUUGACCACCUGGACAUUCUGGCCAUUGACUCACUAUUUUGAUGACUCUACUGACCUGGUAGCAGAAAGAGGCUAGAGUUCUGAAUGCCAAAGAAAAAUGUUUGUACCUCAGAUGAUGAACACCAACACCCAGAUGAUGGGGAGAACCCUUACAAAGACUCCGAGACCUGACACAUCUAUGGAAUUUUAAGAAAUACAAUAUCCUAGCCCAGGAGUUGGCAAACUACAGCUCACUGUCUGUUUUUUUGUUUGAUCUGCAAGAAUAGUUUCUGCAUUUCUACAUGGUUGAAAAAAAUCAAAGGAAUAUUAUUUUGUGACAUGAAAAUUAUUUUAAACCUUUACACAAUAGGUUAAGUAUUACAAAUGAAGUCUUGUAACACAGCCCCAUUCAUUUGUUUACAUAUGGCUGCAUUUGAGUUCCAACAGCAGAGUUGAAGAUUGCAACAGAGACCAUAUAUGGAACUCUCAUCACAAAAUACUGCUGCUCAGUGAGUCUUAGCAGCAUUUCAUAUGCCAAGCAUAUUUGUUUUAUUUUCAUUUUAUUUUAUACUAACAGUACAUAUCCUUCAAGUCAAAACAAGAAAAAUAGACUUCAUCCAGGUACUGUGGCACACACCUAUAAUUCCAGCAACUAGGGAGGAUAAAGCAAGAAGAUCACAAGUUCAAGGCCAGCUUGGGCAACUUAGCAAAACCCUGUCUCAAAAAUAAAAAGGCUAGAGGUAUAGCUCAGUGGUAGAGCACCCCUGAGUUCCUUCCCCAGUACUGAAGAGGAGGAAGUAGGAGGGGAAGAGAAGGAAAAGAAAAAGAGGAGGAAGAAAAAGAAGGAAAAGAAAAGUAGACAACUUCAGAUGUUGCCGUUUUAACUCACUGCAGCAUGUGGCUUGUUAUUACAUUUGAUGGGGAAGCAUGCAUUUAUUAUAUAUUGACAUUAUAACCAUGCUAAAACUGUAUAAUAUGUCAACAUCACCAGGCUAAGCACUCAUCACAAUGUUUCCAACUCACAAGGAAGAACAGGCAGAAAAAUUUGGAAGUUUAAAAUGGCAUAUCUCAUUAUAGGAGGAUUUCUUUACAAGAAUUACAAAUGUAAAUCAGGCAUGUAGGUGCACACCUAUAAUCCCAGCGACUCCAAAUUCUGAGGCAGGAGGAUCACAGGUUUGAGGCCAACCUCAGCAACUUAGAGAGACCUCUGUCAAAAUAAAAAAGGCUGGGGAUUAGCUCAGUAGUACAGCACAUCUGGGUUCAAUCCCCAGUACCAACAACAAAACAGUCACCUUCUAGAUAGGUUGGUCGACAAAGAUAUUUUAAGAAUCAAAAGGCACCAGGAGCAGUGGCCCACUCCUAUAAUCCCAGCAGUUUGAGAAGCUGAGGCAGGAGUAUCACAAGUUCAAAGCCAGCCUCAGCAACUUGGCAAGGCACUCAGAAAGUUAGGGAGAUUCUGUCUCAAGGAAAAAAGGGGUAGGGAUGUGGCUCAGUGGUUAAGUGCCCCUGAGUUCAAUAUCUGGUACCAAAAGAGAAAAAAAAAAAGGUGAAAAUAGUUGCUUGGCUCAAGAAAAAUCAAGUAUUUGAAACUAUUUCCCAUUUAAAAGGUUAGUUAACCCACAGAUGUAGUAUCAACUUCAUUCCUUACAAUCACCAUUAGUGAAUUUUCAACAUUCAAGUCAAUUCAACCAAUAUUUUAUAGACAAUGUACUGGUAAAUGUGAAAAAAUUAAAAAAUAGUGUUGAAAUGUGGCCCUAAAAAAGAGCACUCACCUCUGAGUGGAGAAUGUGGAUGGCCCUUAUAACUAGCUGGCCCUGAAUUCUUUGACCUUUGACUUUAAUGUCCUUCUUCAGUCUUUUUCAUGUACACACAGACAGGGCCACUCCUGUCGUAUUAUUCUCACCCACUACUCCUCCAUCACUAACAUUUAUAAUUUUCUAGGGGAAGAUGCGUAGUGUCUCACUGGAGGGUUCUUCUGCCCAGAGGAAUCUGAGCCACUCCAAAUACCCACUCUAAAUCUUAAUUUUACAAAUAAUUAAUCUGCCCUAAAUCUUAAUAUCUCAAAUAAUUAACAAAUAAUAAAACACAAACACUCAGAAAUAUGUUUACAAAAGUGAAGUCCCUCAUAGAUCUAGUCCACUUGGGUUCUUAAACUAGACAAAGACAAAAUGGCUCUGGUGGCUUAUUUAAGGGGGUACAUCAAAGGCAGGGGUAAGGUUUCAAGAGUGAAGUCUUGCUUUGUGAUGUCUUGCACUGACAUCUUGGCAGGUCACACCCAUCUCGAGUGCUGUGUGGGAUCUAAGGAAGAGCUUGAGGGGGUGCUACAGGGAGUUCACAAUGCCAGAUCUGUGAUAGUCAAGCCAAAGUGACUCCAUUUUGUUUAGUAACUCCAUUUUGUAAAACAACCAUGCCAAGUGGAAGGGUCAUGACCAGGGCAAGAUGUUCUUUUCCUUUUGCUAUAGAAACCUUUAAGAACACAGAACUACCUAAUGGGGCAUUGUUUCUGUAACUAGGGUAACAGGGCUCUGUUUCUGUAACUGGGGUGGCUGGGCUAACUGUGAUUGGCUAAGCGUCCCUCUGCCUGACUGCACUCUCCCACUUCUCUAACUUGGCUUGCUUGCAUUGGCUGGACCCCCAAACGUCCCUGUUGCAGUGAAGCACCCUUGCAAUUAUUCAGGGCUGAUCAGGGGAACAACUUUAUGUUCUGGUCAGCCGCCACUGGUGUGCUUCAAUAAAGGCUUGAUUUGAUUAUACGUGAGUGGUCUGGAAGUCAAUUUAUGAAACCCGAGGACGAAGCCUUAACUAUAACAUCUGGGGGUUCAUCCAGGAUCCAUUUCUUCCCUACCCUCAUGUCAAAUUUGCCUCCGAUGACAGGCCUUUGGACCUAGGCCCCGGAGUAGAGGGGAGCUCCUGAGAGACAUUCCUCAGCCUCGCUCCGCGGGUGAUUCCAAUCCGUCCUAGGACGCUGAGAAGCCUUCUGCUGGCCUGUCAGAUCUGAUGAGUCAACUCCUCUGGGGACAAGGUCAGAUUGGACGCAGUUGUGUACACCGAGUACUAAGACAGGACACGACAUUGUCACUGUCUCCCUGGAGGCCUCCCUGUGGGGCCUCAUCUGUUCCUGGGGGCAAGAGGAGACGUGGUCUCUGCCCCACUAGAGGUUUCCCUGUGUGACCUCACCGAUUGUUUUUCCUGUGUCUGACUUGUUUGCUGUUUGUCAUUUCUUCAGUGUCUGUCUAUCUUGCCGGCUGUGUCCUGUGUCUAUCUUGUUUGUCUAGCAGUGUGUUGUGCGGGAGCCUUUCUUAUUUUCAUAACCACUCUUCUUUCAUCAGGACUCCUUCACUCCCCCGACAUUAUGGGACAAGGAAGUUCUACAGAGAACUGGCCUCCCUAGGUCACAUCUGACUCUGGUUUAUGUCUUUGUCAGUGUCUUUGUCUGUUGGUUUGUUUUUGUUUGUCCCCUUUGUGUUCUGUGUUAAUUUCUACCUUAGUUUGUUUCUAAUGUUAAUGGUUACAAAGGUUUUAACUGUGCUCACUAAAGCUUGCAUUAAAAUGUAAAGUGCUGUCAACAGACUAAAAGAAUUGUCAAAAGUAAAAGCUAAAGGUAAAAAAGGCAUUCCAGAGAUUGCCUUCAUUUAGGAACUGGGCCAGAUGGUCAACAGGGUACAUCAUGUCAGUUCCUAUAGAGGACAGAUUAAAACUGAAGUGUUUUAUACAAUUAUUAUUCCUGAAUUGUAAAACAAAGCAUAAUUUUGUCUAGGAAAUUUGGCUUUUGUUUCUCAGUAUUUGCAAGCAUGUAUUAACUCCCAACUAUUAAAAAUGAUCUAUUUUUCAAUGUCAGGCUAAAAUUUGGUGGCCACUAUCCAAGAAACCAGAAAAAACAGUUUGAAAUGGGACCCCCAACCUGGGGGACUCUCCCAAGGAGACCAAUGGAGCUGUGUCUUUGGGAAAUUCUUUCUGGGAAAAAUAAGGCCCCUUCAUUUGUCUAUGUUCCCUUAACACUUUCCAGCUUUGAUGAACAGGACAACCUCAGGAAAAAGGUCAGAAAGGCUUUUAAAAUUCCAUAUUUGUUAAAUUCAUGAUUUUGAUCUGACAUUUUUAGGUUAAUAUGUUUUUCUGAUUACACUCUGCUUUAUUCUAAGGCCAAUUUAACAAGGGUUAACUCUCAAUCUAAUAUGUUUUUUUAAAAAAUAAACUACAAGGCUUUUGUUUGUCUGUUUGCUUUGUGUGGAUACACCGGUGUACUGUCCAUCUAUAUGUAUUGCCAUGUCUAUAUAUAUUUGGUACCAAAAAUUGACAUAUGAGCUCAUAAAAAAAUGGAUUCAAAUACUUUUGUUUAAUGUGAUUUAAAAGGUUCAAUUUAAAUUAGGAAAAUAAAUAAAAGUAAAAAUGUCUUUAAAGUUACUAAUGCACAAUUUUGUUUCUAGGUGGUUAAAUAGUUCUUAAAAUGUUAAUGUCUAUAAAAUGUCUGAUAUCCAUUGUCUCUAAAUUACUAAUGCUAUUCAAUGCACUUGUCUGAUACUUUGUUUUUAAAAAAGAUAUGUAAAUUACAUCUGAACAUUUGUGAAAUUAAUCAUGGAUGUGUUUGUUAGAGAUAUCUGAUUGGUUUACAAAGUUAAAAUGCUGUUUAAUAUUAUAUCAAAUACUCUUAACUCCUUAAAUUUCAUAAGGUAAAAUGCUUAAAUAUUGUUGGUAUUUUCAUAUAUUGGUAAAUUAAAAAAUUUAAAAUUACUUUAUAUUAUCACAAGAACAAGGUUACUAUAAAUUAAAAGUCCCAACAGGUACAAUUCUACAUAAGGAGUCAAGAGGUUUCAACUGCAUUUCAAUUAAAGUACUGUAAAUAACAAAAUAUUUUAUCUUAUUAAAAUUGAUUAAUUUAUCUAAAUUCAGAAAUUUAUAAGAGUUGUUUUAAAGUACAAACUGAAAGAAGGUUCAAUGGAUUAAAAAUUAUUAAAAGGUUCUAAAUAUAAAAAUAUAUUUAGUAAAAAAAUGUUUCCAGGUUAAAAAGUCUUUAUGUGGUAAAUUAUAAUUAUAAUACAUCUAAGUAAAUAAUCAAAGGGUUCUAAUUAAGUAAUAUAAAGGUCUAUAAAUAAAAGAUAAAUAUUAAAAGGUUUAUAUGUAACUAAGUUGGUUAUGUAUGUAACCCAAAUAGUUAAAACUAUUCAAGGUUGGUUCCCUAAGGACAAAUAUUAAUGUACUGAUAUAUUUAUAUAUUAAAAUGACAAAAACUUCU
rnacentral:lncRNA from 1 species